rnacentral:rRNA from 1 species
UGAGUAACACGUGAGUGACCUGCCUUUUAGACUGGAACAACUUACCGAAAGGUGAGCUAAUGCCGGAUGAGUUAUAUAAAUGCAUGUUUAUAUAGGAAAAGUUGGGGAGACCUGACGCUGAAAGAUGGACUCGCGUCCCAUUAGCUAGUUGGUAGGGUAAUGGCCUACCAAGGCGACGAUGGGUAGCCGGCCUGAGAGGGUGGCCGGCCACACUGGGACUGAGACACGGCCCAGACUCCUACGGGAGGCAGCAG